rnacentral:tRNA from 1 species
GGAGAGGUGACUGAGUGGCUAAAGGUGACAGACUGUAAAUCUGUUGGUUAAUUCCUACAUAGGUUCGAAUCCUAUUCUCUCCA